AUUGCUUCUUAGUCUUACAGUUGACUAAGAUCAACUGUAGUUUAUCUGUUCUUAUCAGUUGAAUAUAUGAUACUUUUUCUAAUCAAGAACCAGUUAUUAAAUGGAAUUUUAGAGCAGGCAGGUGGAGCAUGAGCUUGCUAUAACCACUCCACUCACAGGCCUGAUAUUGCAGUAUUUCCAGGGACGUUAAGUCCUU
rnacentral:snRNA from 1 species